CUGUAAGAGAAUAUAUUUCUUUUGCUUUAAACGUUUAGGUUUGUGGUAAUUUGUCAUAACAGAUCCAGCAAACUCAUAUACUGGCACUGAGCAGAUAUUCAAUAAGAAUUGAUUAUGAAUUAUAGUCAUUAUGAUAGUGCGGCAUUGACUCAGAGAUGAACAAUUUGUUCACUGGACUAUAGCAGGAAAUUCAAAAAUUC
rnacentral:lncRNA from 1 species